rnacentral:rRNA from 1 species
AGUGGCGGACGGGUGAGUAACACGUAAGAAUUUGCCUUUAGGAGGGGGACAACAACUGGAAACGGUUGCUAAUACCCCAUAUGCUUUCGAGUGAAAUGGAUUUCCGCCUAAAGAGAAGCUUGCGGCUGAUUAGCUUGUUGGUGAGGUAAUGGCUCACCAAGGCGACAAUCAGUAUCUGGUUUGAGAGGACGAUCAGACACACUGGAACUGAGACACGGUCCAGACUCCUACGGGAGGCAGCAGUGGGGAAUUUUCCGCAAUGGGCGAAAGCCUGACGGAGCAAUACCGCGUGAGGGAUGACGGCCUAUGGGUUGUAAACCUCUUUUUUCAGGGAGGAAUAAAAUGACGUGUACCUGAAAAAUAAGCAUCGGCUAACUCCGUGCCAGCAGCCGCGGUAAGACGGGGGAUGCAAGUGUUAUCCGGAAUCACUGGGCGUAAAGCGUCUGUAGGUGGUUAAAUAAGUCAACUGUUAAAUCUUGAGGCUUAACCUCAAAAUCGCAGUCGAAACUGUUUGACUAGAGUAUAGUAGGGGUAAAGGGAAUUUCCAGUGGAGCGGUGAAAUGCGUAGAUAUUGGAAAGAACACCGAUGGCGAAGGCACUUUACUGGGCUAUUACUAACACUGAGAGACGAAAGCUAGGGUAGCAAAUGGGAUUAGAUACCCCAGUAGUCCUAGCUGUAAACAAUGGAUACUAGA